UAAUUGGUGAUUAGAAUUCGACUGAUGUACCUAUACUCAAACUUGUAGUUUGUAUUUUUCUAGAAAAGACUGGCCUAAGAGUACAAUCCAGCUGCCACAUAAGAAGGAAUAAGGAGAUCAGAGGAGGACUACAAGGAAGCUACUUAAUUUUUCAGGAGCUAAGAAGAAAAAAGCAGCCACUGGCUGAAGAUGACUGAGUUGUUUUGUCUGAAGAUGUCUGUCUACACUGAACUAAUGACCUGGAAAUUAAAGGCUUUGAAAUACAUUCCCAACCCCCUGAUUCAUGGCCUUUUAGUAAUGCAACUACUAAUCUGAGGUCUUAAAAUUAACUGCCUCACGGUGAACUGGAAAGGGCAGUGCUAUGACUAUGUCCCACUGCUAAUCUGGUCUGCCAGGAAAGCACAUUCAGGAGGAGGCAUAGUGACGGCACCAUAGUCCUCAGCGUGGAGCUCAGCCACAGUCCCAGGACCUCAUGAGCAGUGGAGUAGGGACGUGGAUUCCAGGCAAAGGAAGCAGGUGUGCACUGUGGUGUGAGGUGAGCGCUGGCGUGAGAGGUGAAGCCAGUACUGAUACCAGAAAAGGAACGCUGGACAUGGAGGGCCUUGAAGGGCAUGCGGAAGUCUCGAGGUAGUGCUAUGGCUCCUGAGGAAGGCAGUGGCUCCGUGCCACCAGCAGUGAGGGCAGUGACUCCAGGCCCUGGGAACCAGAGCA